CAAUAGCGUAUAUUAAAGUUGUUGCGGUUAAAAAGCUCGUAGUUGGAUUUCUGCUGAGAACGACCGGUCCGCCCUUUGGGUGUGUAUCUGGCUCUUUCUUGGCAUCUUCUUGGUGAACGUUGCUGCACUUGACUGUGUGGAGCGCUACCCAGGACUUUUACUUUGAGGAAAUUAGAGUGUUUCAAGCAGGCAUACGCCUUGAAUACAUUAGCAUGGAAUAAUAAGAUAGGACCUCGGUUCUAUUUUGUUGGAUUCUAGAGCUGAGGUAAUGAUUAAUAGGGAUAGUUGGGGGCAUUCGUAUUUAACUGUCAGAGGUGAAAUUCUUGGAUUUGUUAAAGACGGACUACUGCGAAANCANNNGCCAAGGAUGUUUUCAUNGA
rnacentral:rRNA from 1 species